UUCUGGUUGAUCCUGCCAGAGGUCACUGCUAUCGGGGUUCGAUUAAGCCAUGCGAGUCGAGAGGGUUCGGCCCUCGGCGUACUGCUCAGUAACACGUGGAUAACCUGCCCUAGGGAAGGGGAUAACCCCGGGAAACUGGGGAUAAUACCCUAUAGAUUACAGAUGCUGGAAUGCCCUGUAAUCCAAAGUUCCGACGCCCUAGGAUGGAUCUGCGGCCGAUUAGGUUGUUGUUGGGGUAAUGGCCCAACAAGCCCGUAAUCGGUACGGGUUGUGGGAGCAAGAGCCCGGAGUUGGAUUCUGAGACACGAAUCCAGGCCCUACGGGGCGCAGCAGGCGCGAAAACUUUACAAUGCGGGCAACCGUGAUAAGGGAACCUCGAGUGCCUGUAAAUGCAGGCUGUUCAGGUGCCUAAAACACACCUGAAGAAAGGGCCGGGCAAGACCGGUGCCAGCCGCCGCGGUAAUACCGGCGGCUCGAGUGGUGGCCACUUUUAUUGGGCUUAAAGCGUUCGUAGCUGGGUUGUUAAGUCUCUUGGGAAAUCCGGCGGCUCAACCGUCGGGCGUCUAAGAGAUACUGGCAGUCUUGGAACCGGGAGAGGUGAGGGGUACUUCGGGGGUAGGAGUGAAAUCCUGUAAUCCUCGAGGGACCACCUGUGGCGAAGGCGCCUCACCAGAACGGCUUCGACAGUGAGGGACGAAAGCUGGGGGAGCAAACCGGAUUAGAUACCCGGGUAGUCCCAGCCGUAAACGAUGUGCGUUAGGUGUAUCGACGACCACGAGUCGUCGAGGUGCCGAAGGGAAACCGUGAAACGUACCGCCUGGGAAGUACGGUCGCAAGGCUGAAACUUAAAGGAAUUGGCGGGGGAGCACCACAACAGGUGGAGCCUGCGGUUUAAUUGGACUCAACGCCGGGAAUCUCACCGGAUAAGACAGCAGAAUGAUUGCCGGGCUGAAGACUCUGCAUGACUAGCUGAGAGGAGGUGCAUGGCCGUCGUCAGUUCGUACUGUGAAGCAUCCUGUUAAGUCAGGCAACGAGCAAGACC
rnacentral:rRNA from 1 species